rnacentral:misc_RNA from 1 species
GAUGAAGAACGCAGCGAAAUGCGAUAAGUAAUGUGAAUUGCAGAAUUCAGUGAAUCAUCGAAUCUUUGAACGCACAUUGCGCCCACCAGUAUUCUGGCGGGCAUGCCUGUUCGAGCGUCAUUUCAACCAUCAAGCCCCCGGGCUUGUGUUGGGGACCUGCGGCUGCCGCAGGCCCUGAAAAGCAGUGGCGGGCUCGCUGUCACACCGAGCGUAGUAGAUUUUAUCUCGCUCUGGGCGUGCUGCGGGUUCCGGCCGUUAAACCACCCUUUUAACCCAAGGUUGACCUCGGAUCAGGUAGGAAGACCCGCUGAACUUAAGCAUAUCAAUAAGCGGAGGA